GUGGGGAAUAUUGCGCAAUGGACGAAAGUCUGACGGAGCAACGCCGCGUGAGUGAUGAAGGUUUUCGGACUGUAAAGCUCUGUUGUUUAGGACGAAAGUGCCUGUUGCAAAUAGUUACAGGUAUUGACGGUACUGAACGAGGAAGCCACGGCUAACUACGUGCCAGCAGCCGCGGUAAUACGUAGGUGGCAAGCGUUGUCCGGAAUUAUUGGGCGUAAAGAGCAUGUAGGCGGGAAUCUAAGUCUGUUGUGAAAAUGCGGGGCUCAACCCCGUAUUGGGAUGGAAACUGGGUUUCGUGAGUGCAGGAGAGGAAAGGGGAAUUCCCAGUGUAGCGGUGAAAUGCGUAGAUAUUGGGAGGAACACCAGUGGCGAAGGCGCCUUUCUGGACUGUGUCUGACGCUGAGAUGCGAAAGCCAGGGUAGCGAACGGGAUUAGAAACCCUAGUAGUCC
rnacentral:rRNA from 1 species